AUGCACCUCAGAUACCUCAUCCUCACUGCCUUCCUGGGGCAACUGCUGGGCACCAUGGGGCAGACAACCAUCACCCAGGAAGGACAAGUAACAGUACAAGAGAGAGAAACCUUCCGAACAACCUGCACUUAUCCAGCAUUUAACUUCAAAGGCUUGUUCUGGUAUCAGCAGAAGACAUAUCAGGCCCCACAGCAUAUCUCUUAUCAGGCAGUAGCUGGCUCCAAGCGCAGCGGCCGUUUCACCACCUUGCUGAACACCACGGGGAAAUACAGCCUCCUGCAGCUGGAGGAUGUUGAGGUCUCUGACAGUGCCUUGUACCUCUGUGCUGUGCAAGACACCCUGAUAGAGAGGAGACAAAAGGGUCCCAUCCAGGGUGAGACCCUGGUGAGAACUUGCUGGUGA